GACAGGUCUGGGACGGAGCAGGUCCCUGCACAGCUCCCCUGGAUUUGCUCCCUGGAAAAGAGAGUGAAACCUAUUCUAGAGCCUGCAUCGUGAGCACACAGCAGAAACUAGAAAGGAUAUCAUGGAAAAGUGCUGACAUGGGAGAACUGGUGCUCAAACAGGUCCAGACAGAGCCUCAGGGGAGACACAGGAAAGCAGGACCCAUUUGAACCAUGUUCCUCAGUCCUCCUGAUGUGCAACGAUGUAGUCACAGACACAAGUCCCUUUUCCUGUGAUUACUGAUUUGACAUUCAGUCCUCUGACCCAGCCUGGAUAUGAUGGA